UGGUGAGCAAGGGCACCCUGGUGCAGAC
rnacentral:piRNA from 3 species